rnacentral:rRNA from 1 species
CAGGCCUAAACAUGCAAGUCGGACGAGGAACGGAGUGCUUGCACUUCGUAGCCGAGUGCGGACGGGUGAGUAACACGUGACCAACCUAGCUUCGAGUGGGGGACAACUGGGGAAACCCGGGCUAAUACCGCAUAUCGCCUCAUGGCCGCAUGACCGGAGAUGAAAGGAGGCCUCUGCUUGCAAGCUUUCGCUCGAAGGGGGGGUCCGACGUAUCAGCUUGUUGGUGGGGUAAUGGCCCACCAAGGCUACGACGCUAGCGGGUCUGAGAGGACGACCCGUCACAUUGGGACUGAGAUACGGCCCGACUCCUACGGGAGGCAGCAGUGGGGAAUAUUGCGCAAUGGCCGAAAGGUGACGCAGCGACGCCGCGUGUGGGAGGAAGCCCUUCGGGGUGUAAACCAUGUCAGAGGGGAAGAAACUCGGACUUCCGAAUAGGUCGUUCGAUUGACGUACCUUCAAAGGAAGCGCCGGCUAACUCCGUGCCAGCAGCCGCGGUAAU